rnacentral:rRNA from 1 species
ACAUGCAAGUCGAACGAAGUAGCAAUACUUAGUGGCAGACGGGUGAGUAACAUGUAGGUAUCUGCCCUUUGGCCUGGAAUAACACGAGGAAACUUGUGCUAAUACCGGAUAAGUCUUUACAGAGAAAGCUUUAUGCACCAUUGGAUGAGCCUGCACUUGAUUAGUUUGUUGGUGGGGUAAUGGCCUACCAAGACUGUGAUCAAUAGCUGAUUUGAGAGGAUGAUCAGCCACAUUGGGACUGAGACACGGCCCAAACUCCUACGGGAGGCAGCAGUGGGGAAUCUUGCACAAUGGAGGAAACUCUGAUGCAGCGAUGCCGCGUGAGUGAAGAAGGCCUUUGGGUUGUAAAGCUCUUUCGUCGGGGAAGAAAAUGACUGUACCCGAAUAAGAAGGUCCGGCUAACUUCGUGCCAGCAGCCGCGGUAAUACGAAGGGACCUAGCGUAGUUCGGAAUUACUGGGCUUAAAGAGUUCGUAGGUGGUUGAAAAAGUUGGUGGUGAAAUCCCAGAGCUUAACUCUGGAACUGCCAUCAAAACUUUUCAGCUAGAGUAUGAUAGAGGAAAGCAGAAUUUCUAGUGUAGAGGUGAAAUUCGUAGAUAUUAGAAAGAAUACCAAUUGCGAAGGCAGCUUUCUGGAUCAUUACUGACACUGAGGAACGAAAGCAUGGGUAGCGAAGAGGAUUAGAUACCCUCGUAGUCCAUGCCGUAAACGAUGUGUGUUAGACGUUGGAAAUUUAUUUUCAGUGUCGCAGCGAAAGCGAUAAACACACCGCCUGGGG